rnacentral:rRNA from 1 species
GACGAACGCUGGCGGCGUGCUUAACACAUGCAAGUCGAACGGAAAGGCCCUGCUUUUGUGGGGUGCUCGAGUGGCGAACGGGUGAGUAACACGUGAGUAACCUGCCCUUGACUUUGGGAUAACUUCAGGAAACUGGGGCUAAUACCGGAUAGGAGCUCCUGCUGCAUGGUGGGGGUUGGAAAGUUUCGGCGGUUGGGGAUGGACUCGCGGCUUAUCAGCUUGUUGGUGGGGUAGUGGCUUACCAAGGCUUUGACGGGUAGCCGGCCUGAGAGGGUGACCGGCCAGAGGGGGGCUGGAAUAGGCACCAGACGGCAACGGGAGGCAGCAGGGGGGAAUAUGGCACAAUGGGCGAAGGCCUGAUGACGACACGCGGCGUGGGGGAGGACGGCUUUCGGGUAAUAAACCGCUUUCGCCUGGGACGAAGCGGGAGGGACGGUAGGGGGUAAAGAAGCACCGGCUAACUACGUG